UACGUAGGGUGCAAGCGUUAAUCGGAAUUACUGGGCGUAGAGCGUGCGCAGGCGGUUGUGCAAGACAGAUGUGAAAUCCCCGGGCUUAACCUGGGAACUGCAUUUGUGACUGCACGGCUAGAGUGUGUCAGAGGGGGGUAGAAUUCCACGUGUAGCAGUGAAAUGCGUAGAUAUGUGGAGGAAUACCGAUGGCGAAGGCAGCCCCCUGGGAUAACACUGACGCUCAUGCACGAAAGCCGUGGGGAGCAAACAGG
rnacentral:rRNA from 1 species